rnacentral:rRNA from 1 species
GACGAACGCUGGCGGCGUGCCUAAUACAUGCAAGUAGAACGCUGAAGGAGGAGCUUGCUUCUCUGGAUGAGUUGCGAACGGGUGAGUAACGCGUAGGUAACCUGCCUGGUAGCGGGGGGUAACUAUUGGAAACGAUAGCUAAUACCGCAUAAUAGUAGAUGUUGCAUGACAUUUACUGAAAAGGUGCAAUUGCAUCACUACAAGAUGGACCUGCGUUGUAUUAGCUAGUUGGUGGGGUAACGGCUCACCAAGGCGACGAUACAUAGCUGACCUGAGAGGGUGAUCAGCCACACUGGAACUGAGACACGGCCCAGACUCCUACGGGAGGCAGCAGUGGGGAAUAUUGGGCAAUGGGCGAAAGCCUGACCCAGCAAUCCCGCGUGGGUGAAGAAGGUCUUCGGGUUGUAAAGCCCUUUUGUUGGGAAAGAAAAGCAGGAGGUUUAGAAACUGCUGCUCUGACGGUAACCAAACAAAAAGCGGCGGCUAACUUCGUG